CUUUUACUGAUUUGUGCUUUCACAUUUCUUUGCUUAAAAACUUCUGUGUAAAUUAUGUAAACCUCGCUUAUGGUAAGCUAUUUUAAAGAGCACUUUAUCGUGCUCUUGAUGCAGUGGUGAGUUGGCAUAAUGGUGAGUUGGCAUUUUAAUAUUAUGAGUUCAUGUUGCAAGGGUUGCUGGUUCAAUACUGAACUGUGGUCACUUUUGUAGAGUUUGACGAAUCCUCCUGGGCCUGUGUGGGUUUCCUCCAGCUUCUCCAGUUUUCUCUCACCUCUUGAAAACAUACCUCAUGCAGACCUCAUUUAAUGGCAGACCUAACAGUCUGACAUGUGAGACUACCAUGACUCUGACCAUCACAAAUAUGUUGAUGAUUGAAUGAAUUGUUUCAGCAUGAUUCUGAUGAUCAAACUGAUUUAUAAGGAAUAGUAAACAUGUAUGGUUUGACCAAUGAACCUAACCCAUAACUUGGUUUUGGAUGAAACCAUUGGAACAGAAACAUGUGCAAUUAAAUAGUUGAUCACAUUUCCAUGAUAUCAGUGUGAAGAUAUGCAUUUAAUAAAACAGGCAGUUAACACUACUGUUCCCCAUGUAUUUGGGAGCCAUGAAAGAAGUAGAGCUUCCCCAUGUCGUGAAUAUUACUUUUACCCCUCAGACUUACAGACGUGUUUUUUAAGUAUGCAUACUUAUUUUUUUAAGUAUGCAUCCUAAAAAUUCUAGUAUGCAUACUUAUUUUAUAAGUAUGCAUACUUAUUUUUUUAAGUAUGCAUACUUAAAAUUCUAGUAGUACCCCUCAGACUUACAGACGUAGAUCAAACGUUUUGAAAUGAAAACAUACUGGAAUUUGCGAGUAUAUUUAUUUUGUCAACUUAUGUUUAAGUAUGUAUGUAUGUAAAUUUUGGCAUGCAUACUUAUUUUUUAGGUAUGCAUACUUAAAAUUCUAGUACGCAUAACUAUUUUUUAGGUAUGCAUUCUUACAAUUCUAGUAUAUAUACUUAAAAUUCUAGUAUGCAUAAUUAUUUUUU
ensembl:lncRNA